GGGAGAGCCUGAGAGUGGUGCUGUGCACGAGGCCAGUGGUAUUGAUCUUCAGAAACUGGCAAACCAAGAAACUGAGUUUGCAUCUCCUAAGCCCAAGACCCUCAAUAUCAGAGUAUCGGCUACUGUGACACAGCUGCUUCCACACUCUUUUUCUCUCUCUCUCUCUCGUUCAGAACAUACCAGGUUUUUCUGGUUUUGGAAUGGGGAAAAUAAAAGCAAAUUGAAGAAGUUUUAUAAGCAGAUAAACAGUAUACAUCAUGGACUAAGGAUCUAAUUAAGUUUUCAAGACGUUGAAAGUUUUGCUUUAAUUUCACCUGGAAGUAUUAGAAACUUCUCAAAGAUCCUAUAUGGAACAAAAUUGUAACAACUUCAUUGAAGGGAUUGUAGAGAAACUUGGCAGGAGAAGAUGUUAACAGCAAGGCCUG